CAGGUAUAUUGGGACUCUGGCAGCCCUUUCUUGUUUUUCUCUUUGCUUCCUGGCUGUCAGGAGGUGUGCAGUUCUUUAUGCGAUGCACUUGCAUGGUAAUGUAUUUGCUGCCUCAACACAGACCUGAAAGCUACAGGACAACUGACUACAGAUUGAAACCUUUGAAACCGUGAGCCAAAGCUGGCAUUAUAUCAACCCAUCUGCUUCUGGAAGAGUAAAAAAUCAGAAUCAUUCACCCUGCAGAUUGCUUGUGAUUAUGUGAAAGGAAGCCUGAAGACCCAUUCUGUGUUGUUGGACAGUUUCUCAGCACAGCUCCUGAAGGUAAAACAAAUGUCCUGAUACAGAGAUGAAGGGAGACCCUGAAAGCAUAAGGUGAUUUAGUGGUAGAAAAUGCUGAAUAAUUGUCCAUGAGCAUGAGCCAAAGGUUCAGGUUCAUUACUGAGAUCCCCAGAAUGCCAGUAUUUGCAAUGCAAACAAUUAGUAUCCCACUGUGUGAAGGGCUCUGACACAUGCCUGCCUGCCUGCCUCUACAUGGAGAGUCUCCAUAAGAAG